rnacentral:lncRNA from 1 species
GACUAUUAGAAUAAAAUAAAAAUAUUGAAUAAAAUAUUCAAUUUUCUCAUAAAACAAUAUUUUUAGAACACUGCAUAAAUAAUUUUUUUACAGCGUAAAAGCAAAAUAAAUUCAUAUAUAUUGUAAUACAAAAAGCCAGAGUAUUUAAUUUAAUUUAUAGUAACAAGUGGGCCCUUGAAUAACCAUAAGUAAGAAAAAUUAUGAACCUACAGUUUGGAAGAUGCAAAUCCAAUGGUAGUCCUCGAUGAAAUCAGCUAUCUAUAGACUAUCUUGAGCCUAAAAUGGGUGGAAAUGAGGGUGGUGAGAUUAUAUAAUCCUAGUGAGUAAACAAAUACCAUCUAAAAUAUCUAAAGCCGAGUAAAUGGAGACAUAUAAAACAGUUUAACAUACUGAAAUUCAUUACCUUUCAACUUGUUUCAACCAAAUAAAAUCAAUUCAUAGAAAUCGAGUAAUCAACAUGGCUUAUGAAUUUCUUAAAAUUUUGGCUCGCGCCAAAAAUCAUUUUUAUACCCAGUUAUCAAGGAUGCCUUGAUCGAGGGCUAUCCCAACCGAGUUCGCCAAGGCUGUUAAAAGGUUAUGUACGCAUAAAUCAUGUUUUUAUUUUAAAAACACAACCGUUCCAUGGCGUUAGCGGAGUUCAUCAUCACGAUGUGGUUUGGCAUGAAGUGAACUCUAAAGUUAUACCUCGAGAGUUACCCUACUCGCUUCUCCAACCGAGAUAAUAAUAUGACCAGGUUUCGUGCCCCUCUAAUAGGCUAGUCCACAGAACCAGCCCACUGCAGCAAGCUAAACCCACCAUACAAUAAAAAUUUACAACAGCAUGACAUGGCAAUUUUAUCAUUAUCCAACCUAUCAAGGCAAACAACAGUUUAUACAUUUCAACACAAAUACCAAUUCAGCCAUUCAUGCCAAUAUUGUCAUAAGCCAAUCAAUUAGAAUCAUGAAUUUACAACAUGCAAAAACGAUCUCCAAUUACUCUAUUUUCAAACCAUCAUUCGAUUUUAAAACAAUUUAUAAAAUCUUUUCAUUUAAACAUAUUUUGUUUAUAAAACCUAAAAAUUUACCAUUUAAACUCAUUUUCCAUAAAAUUCACAAAAUCAGAUAAAAACCACUUUAGAUAAUUAAGACGAUAGUAAGGUUACUCACAAUGUCUAGAGUGCGAAUUUUCGAAGUACUCUGACUACUGGUCCUCGAAUGCAAUUUUCUUGCCUUUAUCGGAGGACUCACCACCUUGACAUAGUACAAAAUUGAGAAACUUACUACAUUGGUACUAAAUCAAAAUUAAACUAAUUUAGACUACUAAUGCAUGAUAUGGAAUGCAAAAUGCACGGGUAACCAUCUAAACCCGGUAUUGGCCUAAUUCGUCUUAUUACCCGAUUAAUUGGCCAACGCGUCCAAUUUAGCUCCAAAUUGUUCCAUUUCUUUUCCAAUACCUUAAUUCACCAAACACAAGUCAAAUAACCUAAAUUUGGCAAAACCAUAUUCACUUUUCUUCUUAGAAUUUUUGGUCAAUAAUGGUGCAUUAACACCGUGAUUUUUCCUACUACUUUUCCACAUCAUAAUUCAUCAUUUUCUAACCAAUUCUCUUAAAAUAAAAAUCAAAUUCAUCCUCACUCAAUACAAGGUAGGUUCGGCCAUUGAUGGGUGAUGGGAAAAAUAAAUUCUUUUCUUGUUGUUUUGCUUCUAGACAUGGUAAAUUAACUAAAAACACUAACAUAACUUGAAAUCAAAUCAAUCCAACAUCAUUCUCUCUCCAUACCCAUUCAGCUAGCCAUGAAUCCUUCAUGAUAUCUUGUGAUUCAACCAUGAAAAAUGAAAAAUAAUGCAUGAGAAAGGUAGAUCACAAGUCAAAAUCAAGAAAUUUUACCUUUGAUUGCUUGAUUACUUGAAAUCUACCAAUUUUUCUCUUGAAUUUUCACCCUAGGGUUCUUGUUCUUUCUUUUCUUCCUUUGUUCUUCUUUGGCCGGC